rnacentral:rRNA from 1 species
AUUGAACGCCGGCGGCAUGCCUUACACAUGCAAGUCGAACGGUAACAGGUUAAGCUGACGAGUGGCGAACGGGUGAGUAAUACAUCGGAACGUGCCCAGACGUGGGGGAUAGCUCGGCGAAAGCCGGAUUAAUACCACAUGUGAUCUGAGGAUGAAAGCGGGGGACCGUAAGGCCUCGCGCGUUUGGAGCGGCCGAUGGCAGAUUAGGUAGUUGGUGGGGUAAAGGCUUACCAAGCCUACGAUCUGUAGCUGGUCUGAGAGGACGACCAGCCACACUGGGACUGAGACACGGCCCAGACUCCUACGGGAGGCAGCAGUGGGGAAUUUUGGACAAUGGGCGAAAGCCUGAUCCAGCAAUGCCGCGUGCAGGAUGAAGGCCUUCGGGUUGUAAACUGCUUUUGUACGGAACGAAAAGGCGCCUACUAAUACUGGGUGUUGAUGACGGUACCGUAAGAAUAAGCACCGGCUAACUACGUGCCAGCCGCCGCGGUAAUAC